GCCUACGGGAGGCAGCAGUGAGGAAUAUUGGUCAAUGGUCGGGAGACUGAACCAGCCAAGCCGCGUGAGGGAGGAAGGUACAGAGUAUCGUAAACCUCUUUUGUCAGGGAACAAAGGCGGGGACGUGUCCCCGGAUGAGUGUACCUGAAGAAAAAGCAUCGGCUAACUCCGUGCCAGCAGCCGCGGUAAUACGGAGGAUGCGAGCGUUAUCCGGAUUUAUUGGGUUUAAAGGGUGCGCAGGCGGUCUGUUAAGUCAGCGGUCAAAGCCCGGGGCUCAACCCCGUCGUGCCGUUGAAACUGGCGUU
rnacentral:rRNA from 1 species